CGUAGGGCGCAAGCGUUGUCCGGAAUUAUUGGGCGUAAAGAGCUCGUAGGCGGUCUGUCGCGUCUGCUGUGAAAUCCCGAGGCUCAACCUCGGGCUUGCAGUGGGUACGGGCAGACUAGAGUGCGGUAGGGGAGAAUGGAAUUCCUGGUGUAGCGGUGGAAUGCGCAGAUAUCAGGAGGAACACCGAUGGCGAAGGCAGUUCUCUGGGCCGUAACUGACGCUGAGGAGCGAAAGCGUGGGGAGCGAACAGGA
rnacentral:rRNA from 1 species